rnacentral:rRNA from 1 species
GCCGACCAUACAACUAAACCACAAACAUACUUUACUGAAAAAACAAACCAUUUGACCAACCUAGUAGAUGCGAUCGAACAGUCACUAGUCAUAACAAAGUACCGCAAGGGAACCAUCAUCAAGCAGCAAACAGCAAAGAUCAACCCUUGUACCUUUUGCAUCAUGGUUUAGCAAGAACAAAAGGACAAGAAGAAUCAUAGCCCCCCCCCCGAAACCGAACGAGCUAUUUUUAAGCAGUCUAACGGACGCACCCUUCUAUGUAGCAAAAUAGUGGGAAGACUUAAAAAUAGAGGUGAAACGCCUACCGAGUUCGGAGAUAGCUGGCUACCCCAAAAAAGAAUCUAAGUUCUACUUUAGAACCACAUUUAAUCAAUUAAUCAUCUAAAGAAAGUCAACAGGGGUACAGCUCUGUUGAUCCAGGAUACAACCUGAAUUUGCAAGAAACCAACCUUACCCUUUUUCCCGUAGGCCCUCAAGCAGCCACCCUUAAAAAUAUCGUCAAAGAAUUAACUUAAAUAAACCCUACACUAACCAAGAACUUCAAAUUAACUAAAGGUGAAUCUACACAAGUAGAUACCAUUAUGCUAAAACUAAUAAUAAGACUUCCAAAUCUCUUUACGCCCCCCUCCGCUAGAAAUAGAAAGACUACUAGCAAUUAACAGACCACAAAAGGCAAACAAUAAACCUAUGCCCACCUAUAAACCUACUGUGACCCCGACACAGGUGCGUAAAAAAGAAAGAUUAACUAUUAUAAAAGGAACUCGGCAACCAAGGGCUCCAACUGUUUAACAAAAACAUAACCUUUAGCUAAACAAGUAUUAAAGGCAACGCCUGCCCAGUGAAAAAUUCAACGGCCGCGGUACCCUAACCGUGCAAAGGUAGCAUAAUCAUUUGUCUAUUAAUUGUAGACCAGUAUGAAAGGCAAAAUGAGAGCCCGACUGUCUCUUAUNNNNNNNNNNNNNNNCUGAUCUCCUAGUACAAAAGCUAGAAUACUAACAUAAGACCAGAAGACCCUGUGAAGCUUUAACUAACCUAUUAAACCCAAUAAUAACUACUUUCGGUUGGGGCGACCUUGGAAUUAAAAAGAACUUCCAACAUAUGACUUCCUCAUAAAACAGGCUAACAAGCCAACAAUAGACCCAGCACAGCUGAUAAAUGAAACAAGUUACUCCAGGGAUAACAGCGCUAUCUUCUUCAAGAGUCCAUAUCAAAAAGAAGGUUUACGACCUCGAUGUUGGAUCAGGACAUCCCAGUAAUGCAGCCGUUACUAAAGGUUCGUUUGUUCAACGAUUAACAGUCCUACGUGAUCUGAGUUCAGACCGGAGCAAUCCAGGUCAGUUUCUAUCUAUGCCUAACGCUCCGCCUAGUACGAAAGGACCGGCACAGCAAAGCCAAUACUACAAGCACGCUUUACCUACAAAUAUCUGACACUUAAUAAUUGGACCUCACCUAUGAACCUAGAUAAGGUUAAUUAAGGACAAUAACACCUUA